AUGGGGAAGUGGGGAAUUGAGUCAGAAGGGACAUGGCAAAGUGGGAUGUGAAAUUAGCAGGGAAAUCAUCUUGAUGACAACCAUGACACCAGAAGGUGGGCAGAUUCCUCCUGGUCUCUUGGCAUUUGGUGCUGGAUACUACAACUCCCACAAAGCAACAUUCCUGGCUUUCUUAACCUGAUUUUAUAUCCUGCACAAAAUUGCAAAUUGUCAUGUCCUUAGUAGAUCAUAUUUAGAAGGAGUUUUGGUUAGCUGUAUCCCCACAGUAAUAUCUCCAACCAAAAUUUACAUCAAUCAUUUUUCUUCUACAAACUGCCUUGGCAGAUGGUGAACACACCAAAAAAUUAACCAGAGAGAGUGAGUAUAUUCAGAAUGUUUUUUUUCUUUUCCUCUAGCUUACCAAAUUAUAAAAUCAUACACUGUUAGGAUCAAUUUUCUCAUGAACAAGUGAAACAAUCCACAACUCCUCACAGUUUUCUGUGAAUGAUGAGCUACAUAGAAUACAUUUAGUCAUGGCUGCCUUUGUUACCAGAAUGUUAGUAAGAAAGUGAAGAAUUUUAGUACAAUUAUUUGAUCAAAAGUUUGACUUAUUUUCACCAAAUUGAUCAAUUAUGUUGUUGUUUCAGGGAUGUUGUGCAUGAGAGUUUAUACUUUCAAAAUGUUUUCAUUGAAUGUAAUGCAUCUGGGAUAAAUAGCUGAUAAAUUAUAUUAGCAACAGUCUAUUUAAGAGUAAACAGAAAAAUUUUGACACUCAUAAAACCAUAGCGCAAAUGAAACAAAAAUCUUUCUCGACAUCAAAGCUCAUCAUAGCUUGAUGGUAGUUGUCAACUGACUCAAGUGUACAUGAAUCAAAGCAAACUAAAUAGAAAUCAUUUAUGUGGUUUGUGUCUGCAUGGCUCCAGG
rnacentral:lncRNA from 1 species